UAAAUGCCUAUUUUACCUCUGUGCUAUUAGACUAUAUUUAUAAUUCAUGUUUUUGACCUUCAUUCUGCCAAUGCUAUUUCAAAUAAUCGAGCUCGACUGUAUCAGAAAAUCAACAUAAAACCGAAAACAACAGCAAUCAUAAUGGUUUUUCCAUUUUUAAUCAUUAAAGCAAUAAAUUAUACCAUGACAUUUUCAAAAUAAAAUUUUAUGAAAUAAAAAAUCGAUUUAUCAUUUUCACAUAAAUUAUGGAAAAAUUUAAAAAUCCUGAAAAGUUGACAAAAAAAGAGAGUAAGCACGUGAGAAAUGUUAAGUUCUCAAAAGCUUGAAUUUUGUUUUGUUCUUCUUGUUCAACACCAUUCGCCCUCUUUAUGCCAACAAAAAAGUUUAUUUUAAAAGACCACGGUCAAAAUGGGGGGAAAUGAUAAAAUAAUUCCGGAUCCAGCUGUGCUAACGCUUUUUUUUGUAUGCAAUUUAACUAAAAGUCAAGUUGUUUUUGUGUGAUGCCCCUAAAACUGUGCUAAAAAAAUUGCUGACGGAAGUUUGUUUAUAUUUUUUCGUUGUUGGUAUUUUUGUUGACGGAUGAACUAAUGGUUUUUGCAUAAAAUAAUAACAAGGUGUUUAUUUUUAGAAAAUAUAAUUUUUUUAGCAAUUUCAAUUUGACAAAGUAAAUUGAUUUGUUUACUCAUUUGUGUAUGGAAAAAUAUUGUUAGAUAAAAAUUU